rnacentral:rRNA from 1 species
GAUGAACGCUGGCGGCGUGCCUAAUACAUGCAAGUCGAACGCUGAAGCUUGGUGCUUGCCCCGAGCGGAUGAGUUGCGAACGGGUGAGUAACGCGUAGGUAACCUGCCUCUUAGCGGGGGAUAACUAUUGGAAACGAUAGCUAAUACCGCAUAAAAGUCGACAUCGCAUGAUGUUGACUUGAAAUGUGCAAUUGCAUCACUAAGAGCUGGUCCUGCGUUGUAUUAGCUAGUUGGUGAGGUAACGGCUCACCAAGGCGGGGAUACAUAGCCGACCGGAGAGGGUGGUCGGCCACACUGGGACUGGGACACGGCCCAGACUCCUACGGGAGGCAGCAGUAGCGAAUCUGCGGCAAUGGGGGCAACCCUGACCGAGCAACGCCGAGUGAGAGAAGAAGGGUUUCGGAUCGUAAAGCUCGGUUGUAAGAGAAGAACGAGUGUGAGAGUGGAAAGUGCACACUGUGACGGUAACUUAACAGAAAGGGACGGCUAACUACGUG